UUGGAGGGCAAGUCUGGUGCCAGCAGCCGCGGUAAUUCCAGCUCCAAUAGCGUAUAUUAAAGUUGUUGUGGUUAAAAAGCUCGUAGUUGAACCUUGGGCCUGGCUGGCCGGUCCACCUCACCGCGUGUACUGGUCCGGCCGGGCCUUUCCCUCUGUGGAACCCCAUGCCCUUCACUGGGUGUGGCGGGGAAACAGGACUUUUACUGUGAAAAAAUUAGAGUGCUCCAGGCAGGCCUAUGCUCGAAUACAUUAGCAUGGAAUAAUAGAAUAGGACGUGUGGUUCUAUUUUGUUGGUUUCUAGGACCGCCGUAAUGAUUAAUAGGGACAGUCGGGGGCAUCAGUAUUCAAUUGUCAGAGGUGAAAUUCUUGGAUUUAUUGAAGACUAACUACUGCGAAAGCAUUUGCCAAGGAUGUUUUCAUUAAUCAGGAACGAAAGUUAGGGGAUCGAAGACGAUCAGAUACCGUCGUAGUCUUAACCAUAAACUAUGCCGACUAGGGAUCGGACGAUGUUAUAUUUUGACUCGUUCGGCGCCUUACGGGAAAC
rnacentral:rRNA from 1 species